GGAUGUGAGGGCAAUCUAGUUGCAACAUCUGUCACUCUAAUCACCAGUGUUGAGUCUAGGGGGGCAUCCCCUUUCUCCCUCACCACCCUGAAUAUAUCCCUCCCAAAGCUGUGUGCUCAGUUAAAAACAAUGACCUUCUCCAAUACAGGAGGACCGUUCUGUGGUCAAGUGUAUACAAGUGGCAGUGCUUCCCUGCUGGAAUUUCCAAACAAGCUCUCAAGGUCCAAAUGCUGGGAUUACUGGAGUGUAUCACUAUACUCAGCGAGGUCCAGUCUCAUACUGGCAGAAAUUUCAU
rnacentral:snRNA from 1 species